rnacentral:rRNA from 1 species
AUACAGAGGGUGCGAGCGUUAAUCGGAAUUACUGGGCGUAAAGCGCGCGUAGGCGGCCUAUUAAGUCAGAUGUGAAGUCCCAGGGCUCAACCUUGGAACUGCAUCUGAUACUGGUAGACUAGAGUUUUGGAGAGGGAAGUAGAAUUUCAGGUGUAGCGGUGAAAUGCAUAGAGAUCUGAAGGAAUACCAGUGGCGAAGGCGACUUCCUGGCCAAAAACUGACGCUGAGGUGCGAAAGCGUGGGUAGCAAACGGGAUUAGAAACCCCAGUAGUCC